rnacentral:rRNA from 1 species
CCUACGGGUGGCAGCAGUGAGGAAUAUUGGUCAAUGGGCGAGAGCCUGAACCAGCCAAGUCGCGUGAGGGUAGACGGUCCUACGGAUUGUAAACCUCUUUUGUCAGGGAGCAAGGAGCGCCACGAGUGGUGCGGCGAGAGUACCUGAAGAAAAAGCAUCGGCUAACUCCGUGCCAGCAGCCGCGGUAAUACGGAGGAGGCGAGGUUUAUCCGGAUUUAUUGGGUUGAAAGGGAGCGUAGGCCGCAUGUCAAGCGUGCUGUGAAAUGUCCGGGCUCAACGCGGGCCUUGCAGCGCGAACUGGCGUGCUUGAGUCCGCGGAAAGCAGGCGGAAUUCGUCGUGUAGCGGUGAAAUGCUUAGAUAUGACGAAGAACCCCGAGUGCGAAGGCAGCCUGCCGGGGUGCGACUGACGCUGAGGCUCGAAGGUGCGGGUAUCAAACAGGAUUAGAUACCCGUGUAGUC